UACGUAGGGGGCAAGCGUUGUCCGGAAUCAUUGGGCGUAAAGGGCGCGUAGGCGGCUUGGCAAGUGGAAGGUGAAAUCCCUCGGCUUAACCGAGGAACUGCCCUCCAAACUGCUUCGCUUGAGACCGGGAGAGGUGAGUGGAAUUCCCAGUGUAGCGGUGAAAUGCGUAGAUAUUGGGAGGAACACCAGUGGCGAAGGCGGCUCACUGGACCGGUACUGACGCUGAUGCGCGAAAGCCAGGGGAGCGAACGGG
rnacentral:rRNA from 1 species